rnacentral:rRNA from 1 species
UACGGCCAUACCAUGCUGAAUAUACCGGUUCUCGUUAGAUCACCGAAGUCAAGCAUCAUUGGGCGCGGUCAGUACUUGGGCGGGUGACCACCUGGGAACACCGCUUGCCGU